UAGCCCAUGACCUUUAACAGGAGCCAUUGGUGCUAUAACUUCAGUUUCAGGUUUAGUAAAAUGAUUCCAUCAAUAUGAUAUUUCAUUAUUUGUAUUAGGAAAUAUUAUUACUAUCUUAACUGUUUAUCAAUGAUGACGAGAUGUAUCACGUGAAGGUACAUUUCAAGGAUUAAAUACUAUUUCUGUUACUUUAGGCCUUCGAUGAGGGAUAAUUUUAUUUAUUUUAUCUGAAGUAUUAUUUUUUAUAUCUUUUUUUUGAGCUUUUUUUCAUAGAAGUUUAUCACCUGCUAUUGAACUAGGAGCAUCAUGACCGCCUAUAGGAAUUAAACCCUUUAAUCCAUUCCAAAUUCCUUUACUAAAUACAGCAAUUCUUUUAGCUUCAGGAGUAACUGUUACAUGAGCACACCAUAGCUUAAUAGAAGGAAAUCAUUCACAAGCCACACAAGGAUUAUUUUUUACAGUACUAUUAGACUCAGUUUAUGGCUCUACUUUUUUUAUGGCAACAGGCUUUCAUGGAAUUCAUGUAUUAAUUGGAACUACCUUUUUAUUAGUAUGUUUAAUUCGACAUUUAAAUAAUCACUUUUAAAAAAUUCAUCAUUUUGGAUUUGAAGCUGCUGCAUGAUAUUGACAUUUUGUUGAUAUUGUUUGAUUAUUCCUUUAUAUUUCAAUUUAUUGAUGAGGAGGUUAACUAAUUAAUUA